CAAUAGCGUAUAUUAAAGUUGUUGCAGUUAGAACGCUCGUAGUCGGAUUUCGGGGCGGGUCGACCGGUCUGCCGAUGGGUACGCACUGGCCGACGCGUCCUUCCUUCCGGAGACCGUCUCACUCUUAACUGAGCGGAGGCGGGAGACGGAACUUUUACUUUGAAAAAAUCAGAGUGUUUCAAGCAGGCAGCUCGCUCUUGCAUGGAUUAGCAUGGGAUAAUAAAAUAGGACUUUGGUGCUAUUUUGUUGGUUUCGAACACCGAAGUAAUGAUGAGAAGGGACAGUCAGGGGCACUCGUAUUCCGCCGAGAGAGGUGAAAUUCUCAGACCAGCGGAAGACGAACCACUGCGAAAGCAUUUGCCAGGGAUGUUUUCACUGA
rnacentral:rRNA from 1 species